rnacentral:misc_RNA from 1 species
GUACAUUAGUGCUUGUGCAUGACAAUAAAUUUCAUUACAUUCAAGUGUGUGUAAAUUCCCCUGCCAGCCAAAGCUAGCAGAGGCCAAAGGUUCACAGGGUAUUGGAUGAAAGUCACCAAUGUGCACUUGCCAGAGCUGGCCAGCACAGAAGGCAAUGAUUCACAAUCAAUAAUGAUCCUUCUGCAGGUUCACCAUGGAAA